GUUAAGCGACUAAGCGUACACGGUGGAUGCCCUGGCAGUCAGAGGCGAUGAAGGACGUGCUAAUCUGCGAUAAGCGUCGGUAAGGUGAUAUGAACCGUUAUAACCGGCGAUUUCCGAAUGGGGAAACCCAGUGUGAUUCGUCACACUAUCAUUAACUGAAUCCAUAGGUUAAUGAGGCGAACCGGGGGAACUGAAACAUCUAAGUACCCCGAGGAAAAGAAAUCAACCGAGAUUCCCCCAGUAGCGGCGAGCGAACGGGGAGCAGCCCAGAGCCUGAAUCAGUGUGUGUGUUAGUGGAAGCGUCUGGAAAGGCGCGCGAUACAGGGUGACAGCCCCGUACACAAAAAUGCACAUGCUGUGAGCUCGAUGAGUAGGGCGGGACACGUGGUAUCCUGUCUGAAUAUGGGGGGACCAUCCUCCAAGGCUAAAUACUCCUGACUGACCGAUAGUGAACCAGUACCGUGAGGGAAAGGCGAAAAGAACCCCGGCGAGGGGAGUGAAAAAGAACCUGAAACCGUGUACGUACAAGCAGUGGGAGCACGCUUAGGCGUGUGACUGCGUACCUUUUGUAUAAUGGGUCAGCGACUUAUAUUCUGUAGCAAGGUUAACCGAAUAGGGGAGCCGAAGGGAAACCGAGUCUUAACUGGGCGUUAAGUUGCAGGGUAUAGACCCGAAACCCGGUGAUCUAGCCAUGGGCAGGUUGAAGGUUGGGUAACACUAACUGGAGGACCGAACCGACUAAUGUUGAAAAAUUAGCGGAUGACUUGUGGCUGGGGGUGAAAGGCCAAUCAAACCGGGAGAUAGCUGGUUCUCCCCGAAAGCUAUUUAGGUAGCGCCUCGUGAAUUCAUCUCCGGGGGUAGAGCACUGUUUCGGCAAGGGGGUCAUCCCGACUUACCAACCCGAUGCAAACUGCGAAUACCGGAGAAUGUUAUCACGGGAGACACACGGCGGGUGCUAACGUCCGUCGUGAAGAGGGAAACAACCCAGACCGCCAGCUAAGGUCCCAAAGUCAUGGUUAAGUGGGAAACGAUGUGGGAAGGCCCAGACAGCCAGGAUGUUGGCUUAGAAGCAGCCAUCAUUUAAAGAAAGCGUAAUAGCUCACUGGUCGAGUCGGCCUGCGCGGAAGAUGUAACGGGGCUAAACCAUGCACCGAAGCUGCGGCAGCGACACUGUGUGUUGUUGGGUAGGGGAGCGUUCUGUAAGCCUGCGAAGGUGUGCUGUGAGGCAUGCUGGAGGUAUCAGAAGUGCGAAUGCUGACAUAAGUAACGAUAAAGCGGGUGAAAAGCCCGCUCGCCGGAAGACCAAGGGUUCCUGUCCAACGUUAAUCGGGGCAGGGUGAGUCGACCCCUAAGGCGAGGCCGAAAGGCGUAGUCGAUGGGAAACAGGUUAAUAUUCCUGUACUUGGUGUUACUGCGAAGGGGGGACGGAGAAGGCUAUGUUGGCCGGGCGACGGUUGUCCCGGUUUAAGCGUGUAGGCUGGUUUUCCAGGCAAAUCCGGAAAAUCAAGGCUGAGGCGUGAUGACGAGGCACUACGGUGCUGAAGCAACAAAUGCCCUGCUUCCAGGAAAAGCCUCUAAGCAUCAGGUAACAUCAAAUCGUACCCCAAACCGACACAGGUGGUCAGGUAGAGAAUACCAAGGCGCUUGAGAGAACUCGGGUGAAGGAACUAGGCAAAAUGGUGCCGUAACUUCGGGAGAAGGCACGCUGAUACGUAGGUGAAGUCCCUCGCGGAUGGAGCUGAAAUCAGUCGAAGAUACCAGCUGGCUGCAACUGUUUAUUAAAAACACAGCACUGUGCAAACACGAAAGUGGACGUAUACGGUGUGACGCCUGCCCGGUGCCGGAAGGUUAAUUGAUGGGGUCAGCGCAAGCGAAGCUCUUGAUCGAAGCCCCGGUAAACGGCGGCCGUAACUAUAACGGUCCUAAGGUAGCGAAAUUCCUUGUCGGGUAAGUUCCGACCUGCACGAAUGGCGUAAUGAUGGCCAGGCUGUCUCCACCCGAGACUCAGUGAAAUUGAACUCGCUGUGAAGAUGCAGUGUACCCGCGGCAAGACGGAAAGACCCCGUGAACCUUUACUAUAGCUUGACACUGAACAUUGAGCCUUGAUGUGUAGGAUAGGUGGGAGGCUUUGAAGUGUGGACGCCAGUCUGCAUGGAGCCGACCUUGAAAUACCACCCUUUAAUGUUUGAUGUUCUAACGUUGACCCGUAAUCCGGGUUGCGGACAGUGUCUGGUGGGUAGUUUGACUGGGGCGGUCUCCUCCUAAAGAGUAACGGAGGAGCACGAAGGUUGGCUAAUCCUGGUCGGACAUCAGGAGGUUAGUGCAAUGGCAUAAGCCAGCUUGACUGCGAGCGUGACGGCGCGAGCAGGUGCGAAAGCAGGUCAUAGUGAUCCGGUGGUUCUGAAUGGAAGGGCCAUCGCUCAACGGAUAAAAGGUACUCCGGGGAUAACAGGCUGAUACCGCCCAAGAGUUCAUAUCGACGGCGGUGUUUGGCACCUCGAUGUCGGCUCAUCACAUCCUGGGGCUGAAGUAGGUCCCAAGGGUAUGGCUGUUCGCCAUUUAAAGUGGUACGCGAGCUGGGUUUAGAACGUCGUGAGACAGUUCGGUCCCUAUCUGCCGUGGGCGCUGGAGAAUUGAGGGGGGCUGCUCCUAGUACGAGAGGACCGGAGUGGACGCAUCACUGGUGUUCGGGUUGUCAUGCCAAUGGCACUGCCCGGUAGCUAAAUGCGGAAGAGAUAAGUGCUGAAAGCAUCUAAGCACGAAACUUGCCCCGAGAUGAGUUCUCCCUGACUCCUUGAGAGUCCUGAAGGAACGUUGAAGACGACGACGUUGAUAGGCCGGGUGUGUAAGCGCAGCGAUGCGUUGAGCUAACCGGUACUAAUGAACCGUGAGGCUUAACCUUACAACGCCGAAGGUGUUU
rnacentral:rRNA from 1 species